UGAUUUUGGACAUUUUCUUCCUAAAACGAUUAUGUUGGACAAGCUGAAGUUAUACCAACAAGGCUUCCCUCUGCUCUUAACUGUCUUAAACGUCUUUGCCUAUCUUGGUUUAUUCUGGAAGAAGUCUCUGUGCUUUCAUUUGCUCUUUGCUUGAUAAGAAGCUCCCCAAAUUUAGAAGAAAUAGAAAUUGAGGUGUGUGUUCUUAAAGAUGAGAUCUAUUAUGAAGCUGUGCCGCCGGGAUGCUGUUGAUGAGAUUCCUGCAAGCUUCUCAAAUAUGACAUUUAAUCACCUCAGGACAGUUAAGAUUUACAAUGUAGCUGGAACCAAGGCUGAAAUGCAGCUUAUCAAGGUUUUAUUGGCUAAGUCCCCGGCACUGGUCAGAAUGUUAAUCAAGCCCUGUAGAAUGGAAGAUAGAAAAUCUCUCAAAGUAGUCGCGGAGAUAACAAAUUUUCCUCGGGCAUCAUCUAAUGCCCAAGUUGUUUAUAAUGUAGAUUAGUAUCCAUAUCAUAAUCCUGCUCGACCUUCACAAGUCUUCAAUCAGACCAUGAAUUUUGGCUAAAAUGUUUUGGAAGUUGAAAGUGUGAAUAGAAAUGAAUGUUGAUGCAGUGCUAAGGCUGUGUUUUGCCUUUCCCAUAAAAUACAAUCUGGUCAAACGUUUUGACUAAUCUGUUUCAUAAUGCUAAGUUUGAAAUGGUUUUUAAAUUACAUGCCUGUUAUUGAUAUAUGAAAUGAAACAUGACAUGAAUUGUCACUGGUUUGUUUUAAAGGAUGUUGUGGGUUAAUUCUCUACUUGAUGAGAUUACUGUAGCAAUCGUGAAGCAUUUUCUCAAAUCUUGAAAAAAUUGCCAGGAGGUUUUGUAGUAGCAUGAAUUUAUUUACUUCAAUAGGUAGCACUGCUAUGUAACUCUUAUCGAUUAAAUUCAACAUUGUUGUUCACA